AGAGUUUGAUCCUGGCUCAGGACGAACGCUGGCGGCGUGCUUAACACAUGCAAGUCGAACGGGAUCCGGACUUCGGUUCGGUGAGAGUGGCGAACGGGUGAGUAACGCGUAGGCAAUCUGCCCCUCGGUGGGGGAUAGCCCCGGGAAACCGGGAUUAAUACCGCAUGACGCGUCGGGAUCGCAUGGUUCUGACGUUAAAGAUUUAUCGCCGAGGGAUGAGCCUGCGUUGCAUUAGCUAGUUGGUGGGGUAACGGCUCACCAAGGCGACGAUGCAUAGCUGGUCUGAGAGGAUGAUCAGCCACACUGGGACUGAGAUACGGCCCAGACUCCUACGGGAGGCAGCAGUGAGGAAUAUUGGACAAUGGGCGCAAGCCUGAUCCAGCAACGCCGCGUGAACGAUGAAGCUGCUCUGCAGUGUAAAGUUCUGUAAGGAGGGACGAAGACCGGGGUAUGGCCCCGGGGGGACGGUACCUCUUAAGUAAGCACCGGCUAACUCCGUGCCAGCAGCCGCGGUAAUACGGGGGGUGCAAGCGUUGUCCGGAUUUAUUGGGCGUAAAGGGCUCGUAGGCGGGAGGGUAAGUCUGGCGUGAAAUCUCUCGGCUCAACCGGGAAGCUGCGCUGGAAACUGCCGUUCUUGAGUUGCGGAGAGGAAGUUGGAAUUCCUGGUGUAGCGGUGGAAUGCGUAGAGAUGUGGAGGAAUACCAGUGGCGAAGGCGGCCACCUGGACGGUAACUGACGCUGAGGCGCGAAAGUGUGGGUAGCAAACAGGAUUAGAUACCCUGGUAGUCC
rnacentral:rRNA from 1 species